UACGAAGGGGGCUAGCGUUGCUCGGAAUCACUGGGCGUAAAGGGUGCGUAGGCGGGUCUUUAAGUCAGGGGUGAAAUCCUGGAGCUCAACUCCAGAACUGCCUUUGAUACUGAGAAGCUUGAGUCCGGGAGAGGUGAGUGGAACUCCGAGUGUAGAGGUGAAAUUCGUAGAUAUUCGGAAGAACACCAGUGGCGAAGGCGGCUCACUGGCCCGGUACUGACGCUGAUGUGCGAAAGCGUGGGGAGCAAACAGG
rnacentral:rRNA from 1 species